rnacentral:rRNA from 1 species
CCUACGGGAGGCAGCAGUGGGGGAUAUUGCACAAUGGGGGAAACCCUGAUGCAGCGACGCCGCGUGAGUGAAGAAGUAUUUCGGUAUGUAAAGCUCUAUCAGCAGGGAAGAAAAUGACAGUACCUGACCAAGAAGCCCCGGCUAACUACGUGCCAGCAGCCGCGGUAAUACGUAGGGGGCAAGCGUUAUCCGGAUUUACUGGGUGUAAGGGGAGCGUAGACGGUUAUGUAAGUCUGGAGUGAAAGCCCGGGGCCCAACCCCGGGACUGCUUUGGAAACUGUGUAACUGGAGUACAGGAGGGGCAGGAGGAAUUCCUGGUGUAGCGGUGAAAUGCGUAGAUAUCAGGAGGAACACCGGCGGCGAAGGCGGCAUGCUGGACUGAAACUGACGUUGAGGCUCGAAAGCGUGGGGAGCAAACAGGAUUAGAUACCCUGGUAGUC